UAGGGAAUCUUCCGCAAUGGACGCAAGUCUGACGGAGCAACGCCGCGUGAGUGAAGAAGGAUUUCGGUUCGUAAAACUCUGUUGUUAGAGAAGAACAGCGCAUAGAGUAACUGUUAUGCGUGUGACGGUAUCUAACCAGAAAGCCCCGGCUAAUUACGUGCCAGCAGCCGCGGUAAUACGUAAGGGGCGAGCGUUGUCCGGAAUUAUUGGGCGUAAAGAGUGCGUAGGCGGCAAAUUAAGUCAGAUGUGAAAGCCCCCGGCUCAACCGGGGAGGGUCAUUGGAAACUGGUUGACUUGAGUGCAGAAGAGGAGAGUGGAAUUCCAUGUGUAGCGGUGAAAUGCGUAGAUAUAUGGAGGAACACCAGUGGCGAAGGCGACUCUCUGGUCUGUAACUGACGCUGAGGCUCGAAAGCGUGGGUAGCAAACAGG
rnacentral:rRNA from 1 species